AAAUACGAUGCCACGAUGUGUGGCAUGUUGUCGGCGGUCAGUAAGGAUAUGCGGAGAGCUGGAUAACCAGAGAGCCAUACACGGUCCUACGGAGCCGAGCCGAAUGCACUCGCCAAUUCGGAGCAGAAGCCUUGGGCCAACCAGUCGGAGAAACGUCACGAGCCAGCUGCCACUUAUUCUAAAGGAAAAAAUAAUUACAACUGAAAAUAACAGUCUAAAAAUUAACAAAUAAAUAUCGACAAUUUGUAAAUCCAAUAAUUAAUUGUGAAUUGCCAAGGCUAAGACUUGGAUUCGUGGAAAAAUCCAAGCCGGAGCCAAAAAGCACGUGAUGCAACUGACGACUCCCUUAUGGGACAGUGAUUAAAGUGAAAUUGUGGGGUCAGAGCUAGCCAAAAAUCGAUAGGGGUCGCCUCCAAAAAACGUGUCCUCCAGCUGGAAACGUGCGCAGCCUGCGAAAUUUCCUUUGGUCUUGGUCCUGCUGGUCCCGUCCAAAGUCAGAGCAAAUCUCAACCUACGCAGGGUUAUAUAACACAAUCGCUACAAUAGCUACAACGCCCACGCAGUUUGCCACUAAAUCGAUAGACCAAAAACCGUCAUGACGAGCACCUAAUUGGAUUGAACGCGAGGGAUUAACCACCAGUGGGCUUUAAAAGGGAACGUCACCAUCGAAUCCGCGAAUUUGGGCUAGUCACUCCGCCAGAUAAUGGGUAAAAAGAAGGUACCCAGCGAGGAGCUAAUCGUCCCGCCGCAGGACAACCGGAUAUGCGGCACAAUAUGCAUUUGCCAGAUGACUCUGGUGCUCAGUUCGGUGGCUCUGGUCUAUCUCACAGUGGCCAUCUACAUGCCCUCCACCAGGGCUUUUAAGAGCGGCAUCGACCCCACGCCGGUCAUGUGCACCACCACGCGGGCGGUCAACAAGGAUAACUGCGAGUGGGGCAGCUGCGGCGAGUGGUGUCUGAGCAAGACCUCCGGCGCCUGCAUCCAGAUCUACGUGAAUCUUCGCAGCAAUGGCAGCAACCUCAUCUUCCAGAAUUGUACGAAUUCUGCAAAUAAAACGUGUUACGGCAUCGACCAGGAUCGGGCCGACAAGGCGCGGUGCAUCAACGAUGAGUGCAAAAACCUUACGGGCACAUUCAACUGCACCGCUGGCCAGUGCCUGAACAUCACGGAUGCCUUCGAGUGUGUCUUCCACAACAGCGACGCACCCGUAAAGUGUUCUGGGCGGAGGGGAAAAAUUAAUUGCAUGGACAUUAGUGGCCUGUUCUCCUGUAGCCGGGGAACGUGUCGGAAAAUAAGGACCCCCUACAACUGCGACAGGAGGUGUGUGGAUAUACCGACCCGGAACAAGAAUGUGGUGGUGUUAAGUGGGGACAAGGUGUAUCUAUCCCAGUGCCAGAACGCCAUCAAUGCGGAAACCCUCGAGGAGGUAUGGAACGAAUCGAGCGACAACGUGGCCAUGACUUCCUGUUACUUCAUAAAGAACACAUCGGAUCGGGUGGAUGCAGUGGACUGCAUCAACGGCUCCACUCUGGAGCACAAUAUGCUCAGUGACCUGACCAACUUCACAUAUCUGAGCCACCUGCACGUAUCGGUGGCCACUCCUGUUCCGGAGAUAGCACCUCCAGACGUCGACCUGACCAUUUCCAACGAGUCCAAGCUAAUGAUCAACCUGGAGGGCUGUGUAAACACCCUGAUGGAUGAGUGCAAGGAGUUCCUUAAGGACUUCGGCCGGGAUGGCAGCGACCAUAAUGCCCGCGCCCGCUUCCCCUGCUUCUACUCCCCCUCCAAGAAGGACGUUGUGGUGGCCCGUUUCGAUCUGGAGGUUACCUAUCGCCAAUUUGUGUUCGCCUCGGUGGUGCCAUCCGUCCUCUUUGUUGUGUCCUGCUCGGUGCUGCUCCUGUGCCAGCGCACCGUCUACGUGGGCGACGAUGCCAAGAUGCGAUUCAAGGGAUGUGUCGAUACGGAGACCAUCCUGAACAAGAACAACGUGGGCACACCCACCAACGGCGACAUGGGCGGAGGUGGCGGCGACGAGGUUAUGGCCCUAUGAGAUCCGUCACUCUUUGCUAUUGCCCACAUGUGAGAGGUCUGCGCAGUACUUCUAGGCAUUCCUCUGCUCCAGGAAGACAGUCCGGUACACCAAACGGGAGUCUUCGCAUUGCAAUAAUUGGAGUUGGGCACAAGCUAAAGAGUCAGAAACACAAUCGAGCAACUUGAAAUUCUUUGUAAUCCUUCCAUCGAACUCUUAACACUCAAAUCACACAUUUGUAGACACGUAACAGGACACAGACCACACCUCAGAGGCUUGCAAGGACACUCCUGAGAAACUGAAACCGAAACCGAAAACGAAAAACGAAACUGUACACCACAUGCGAGGCGCUUGAUAUUCUCAAGAUACGACGAUCGACGAGAUCUGAAGACAAUAUUAGUAUAAUUUACAAUCAUUUAGUUAUUUUUUGGGUUAAGGCCAGAGCCAGAGCCAGAGGCUGAAGGAACUGUAGGAUAGGUGAGAGGGGAUUUAAUUGCAGAUCGCGGAAGAUUAAAUUACAAAUUUUUGCUAUUAUGGAACUUAGUUUUAUCUAGGGAAUAAACGCACACACACCCACAGCCACAUGCACAGCAAAAGCACACACUCACACUGACACACUGACACACUCACACACCACACACACACACCAAAACAGACACACACACACCCAACACCCAAAAGCAGCUGAAAAGGAUAUAGAACAAGGUUCAGUCACCGGGAGAGAAGGCAGAGGAAUUCAAAAAAUGGCUUAGAGAGAGGGAUGCGUGAUUAAAAAUCUAAAUAAAAUCUCGAACAACAAACUAGUCAAGAAAGUCAAAGCUAAAGUUAACCUUAACGAAGUAAAAAAAAAAAGAAAUAAUUUAGAUAAAAGAAAACUAAAA